rnacentral:misc_RNA from 1 species
CGAAAUGCGAUAAGUAAUGUGAGUUGCAGAAUUCAGUGAAUCAUCGAAUCUUUGAACGCACAUUGCGCCCGCCAGCACUCUGGCGGGCAUGCCUGUUCGAGCGUCAUUUCAACCCUCAGAACCCCUUGCGGGAUCUGGCGUUGGGGAUUGGCAUCCAGCCAGCCCCGAAAUCUAGUGGCGGUCCCUCCGCGACCUCCCCUGUGCAGUAGCGAUACCUCGCAGCGGGACAGCGGUCUGACCACGCCGUAAAACCCCCAACUUCUCAAGGUUGACCUCGAAUCAGGUAGGAAUACCCGCUGAACUUAAGC